UCUUUCCGUCUCUCACUGUUGUUUUUAUUGCUUUCAGAAAUGGUUCAGUGUCAUGGGAAUAAGUCCGUUAGCAUCACAACAGUGAGCUAACAGAGGCUAACUAUAAGAGCAGAGUUGGAGUGGACCUCUUGUUGAAGAACUUCUCCAGGCACUAUGAACCAUCUGACUAGUAAGAAAAACCUCAAACAUUCAGAAGUUUAUCAGAUAUUAAAAAUAUAUGUCAAAUAAAUAUCAAAUAUUUUUUGAGUCCUGUAUGUCUUACAAGGCCAUCCUGUUUAACACUGCACUGCGGACACUACAACCAGAGAGGUACAACAUAAUUCAAAAUGAGACACAGAUGAUAAUAAAAAAGUGCUUUGAAAUGAAAAUUAAUACUGGUAAGACAGAACCGAGAACUGUGACUGUGCCUCACUUCAAAGUGAAACAGUCUGUAAUGGUCAUCUGCCAUGCCAGAUCGAUGGUGCAGGUGGGAAUUAUAAGUACGAUUUUCUAAACUUUAAAUGUAGUAAAGUGUUUGUUCAAGUAGACUUUGUUGCUUGUGGAAACCUCACACAAGCCUGAAAGGUGCUAUAAACUUAAAAUCUUAUUUGCACUCUUGAAAACUGUUCACCAAAGACUAAAUUUCAGUCCAGCAGAAUUUUCUGCACACUUCACCACCAAGAUCAAAAUGAGCAUUGUGAAUGUAAAAGCUUCACAUUACAUUUAUAACCACCAUUGUUAAUAUUUGAAUUAUAUUGAAUUAUAUUAUGCCUUGAUAGUGGACAAUACCGGAUUUUUUG
ensembl:lncRNA